GGUAGGGCUAUAGCUGAGGGGUAAAACACCUGCUUUGCAAGCAAAAUGUCCCAGGUUCAAUCCCUAGUAACAUCU